rnacentral:rRNA from 1 species
GAAAUUAUUUUAAAUGGCCGCAGUAAUUUGACUGUGCAAAGGUAGCAUAAUCAUUAGUUUUUUAAUUAAAAGCUUGUAUGAAGGGUUGGACGAGAUAAAAUCUGUCUCUAUUUAAUUUAUUAUAAAAUUUAAUUUUUAAGUUAAAAAGCUUAAAUUUUUUUAAAAGACGAGAAGACCCUAUAGAUCUUUAUAGUUUUGAUUUUGAAUUUAAUUAAUAAAUUUUUAUGAUUUAUAAUUUAAACUAUUUUAUUGGGGUAAUAGAAAGAUUAAAAUAAUUCUUUUUUUUCUUUAAACAUUUAUUUAUGUUUUUAAUGAUCCAAUUUUAUUGAUUAUAAGAUUAAGUUACCUUAGGGAUAACAGCGUAAUUUUUUUAGAGAGUUCUUAUCGAUAAAAAAGUUUGCGACCUCGAUGUUGGAUUAAAGAUUAGUUUAGGUGUAGAAGUUUAAAUUUUUGGUCUGUUCGACCAUUAAAUCUUUACAUGAUCUGAGUUCAGACCGGCGUAAGCCAGGUCGGUUUCUAUCUUUAAUAAUUUUAAAAUAUUUUAGUACGAAAGGACCAAAUAUUUAAUAUAUUUAUAUUUAAUUUUUUGAAUAUUAUU